UGGAGGGCGGGGGCUCCAACCCAUGGCCAAAUCUACGGCUCUUCUCAGGCCUCAAGUUCACCCACUGAAGAUAGGCCUGGAAGCACAUCAAGGCAGACAUCUCCCUGGCCACGGUUUUGCAGGGAGAAACAGGUUGCUUGGAAAGAACAGUUUGCACUUCCCCAUCUAUUGCACGUCUGGAUCUCAAAGUCCUGGCUCACUUCUGAACCAGGAACUUGGAUUGAUUCAUCAACUCCAGACUCAGCCCAGAGAAGAACUAUUCUCACAUAUUGUGACAAGUUAAGUUCCCUUUACAUAAUUCUGAAACUUCUAAAACCUUUCUUGUGCAUGUUAGCAAAGUAAGUCUUUCCCAAUCUUUUGUCUUUCCAGGAAAUGAUGAGAAAAAAAGUUGCUGUCUUCUGGAAGGCACGAUGUUUAGAAGCCCUGGUGGUCUCCUUUAAAGCCAAUGUUCCAGAGCAAAAACUUAAAAGUUUCUUAUUAUCACAGUCUCAUAUCCCAUCUCUUCAAUUUAGAACUUGAAUGAACUUCGAAGGAUUUCAAGUUUGGUAUGUGUUUGAAUACUUCCAUUGAUGAAUUGACCAUGCUCAUGAAGGAAUGUUCUCAUGGGUGAGGAUAUCAUUCUUAGUGAUCUUUCCUGUUCACUAUGAAAAUCUGGCUUCUGCUUGGGUCUUUAGUCCCAUUUCCAAGAAGAGCAGCCACUCAGGGAAGGGACAUAUCAGUAUUCUCCAGCCUAUACAAAGAAUUUUGGACCAGAGGAGGACCUUAGAAAUCAAGAUCAACCAUUAUUGUCCACUUGAGUGAAUGACACAAUGAAAACACAUUAAA